GCCACUUGAGACAAGUCCAGGCUCACUGCCCAAAAUAGCAUCCUCCUUCUGCCAGCAGCACUGUGGAACCAGAGCUCUGAGGCAACCCUCCCGAGCUUGCUUUUGCUGUCUUCUGCCAUCAUGAACUACUUCUCUGCGAUGUCCCUCUGCCAAGCCACUUGCCUUGGAGCCAGCCAAUUAUGGACUGAAACCUCUACAGACUGUGAGCUAAAUAAACCUUUCUCCUUUUAA